rnacentral:lncRNA from 1 species
UCUUCUUGUGUGGUGUGAUUUUCGAUCGGUAUUCUAUACACACUUGACUUGUAAUUAGAAUGGAUUUUAUUUUUGUCAUUGCGGAGUUGGUUGUAAAUGGUUGGGAAUCGUUUGUACGCAAUCCUUUUAUUAGUUUUAUGUGCUAUUUGUUUAACAAGGUUGGAGCUUCUCGUGGCAUAGGGUGUGGUCUCAUAUCGUUCUUAAUGGGCGCGCGGGUUGUCAACAUUCUCUAUUGUUUGCUUGGUUUUCUGGAGGAUUUUUUCUAAUACAUGCCUAGGGUGGCCGUGUUGGUGGCCUGUUUUGGAG